AUAGAGCUUCAGUUUGCAACAAAUCAUCUAGGUCAUUUUCUUUUAACAAAUCUUUUGUUGGAGACCAU